GAUGUGGGGCAUCUUAUCGCUGCAACUCGCCUAAGAGUUGAAGAGGAAAGUCUGGGCAACAUAGGGCAACCGUACUUCCUAACGGGAAGGAGCAUAAGGUCUAAAGCCUUGUGUUACAGAAAGUGCAACAGAGAAGAUACCGCCUGCUUUCGGGCAGGUAAGGGUGAAAUGGUAGAGUAAGAGCCUACCGCUUUGCUGGCGACAGCAAAGGCAUGGCAAACCUUACGGGUUGAAAAACCAAAUAGGCUGGCGCAACUCCGCUUGCGGAGGGAAAGGGCUGCCCGCUCGAUGCCAGUGGGUAGGUUGAUGGAGCAUUGGCGUGAGCCUCUGCCUAGAUAAAUGAUAAGACGUUUGCCUCGUGCAAACUGACAGAACCCGGCUUAUCGCCCCACAUUUUUU
rnacentral:RNase_P_RNA from 1 species